rnacentral:lncRNA from 1 species
GUGGAGUGAAGCUUUAAUGGCCAUGUUGUGAAGAUGGAGUUUAUGACCGUCUUUAUCCCGCCUAUUCCUUCUUUCCAAUCUUUUGGGCUUGCAUUUGAUAGAUCAGCUGCUAUUGGCAAAAAGUCCUUGGAUCGUCGCCCAGUACAAUAGGUACUUAUCAUAAUUUUUAUUUGUAAAAAUAUUUUAAGUGUCUCUUAUAUUCAAACUUGUUCAACACAUGGAUUUAUAACUAGUGGACUCUAAUUACAAGCAUCAUUUCCUUUAUGUGAGAUUUAGUUCCAUAAACUAAAGGGACAAACAAGAUACAUAGAUGUACUUUAAAAGACAUUUAAUAAUUAUUCUAAUAUUUUGUUAAAAAGAGUUAUUCUAAUUUUGAAAAGGUUUCUUGUAUCAACAUAAAUAUACUAAAUUGACAUGAAACAUUACAUAAUGUGAUAAAAAAAUCCAGUAAAAAAAAAAUUACUUGAAGUAAUCCAAGAAAGAACAUAUAUAUAAAGUGAUCAAAAAAACAUUACAUGAGUAAUCCAAAAGAAAAAAUUACGUAAUCCAAAAAACAAAAUGGCUGAAAAUCUCAAAUUGGUUUUUCCAGUGAUCAUUUUUGUUUUUCUCUUUCUUGUUGUAGUCAAAGGUAUAGACACUACAACUAAUUUACCAUCUUUCACCCCAGGUAAAUCAAUCUCUUUCUUUUGUUAUCUUAUAUACAAACCUUUCACCCAUUUUUAGUAAUAAUAUUUUUGUAUUAUUUCUUUACAUUACAGGAAAAGAAUGUGUUACUGGCGAAGAUUGUUUAAAAAUUCUUCGGAAAGUUAAUGGUUUUAAACUGAUUUGCUUGAAUGGUUAUUGUCGAUAUGGAUAUAAGAGGAAACCCUACUAAAAUAUGAGGUUCUUAAUAUAUACUAAAUCUUUUAAAUUGGGUUGUUACUAUUCAACACUGCUUGAGAAAGGCCAGCUCAUGUGCAGAUUUACUACCUUAAAAGGGAUUUGAUGUUCUUUUUUCCCAGUUUUAAUUAAUUCCGAUGGUAAUUUUUUCCUGCUUUUUUAGUUUUAGAUUGUAAGGUGCUAUUAUCGCUCUUUUAGUUCGUUAAUUUAAG